rnacentral:rRNA from 1 species
AUUGAACGCUGGCGGCAUGCCUUACACAUGCAAGUCGAACGGUAACAGGUUAAGCUGACGAGUGGCGUACGGGUGAGUAAUGUAUCGGAACGUGCCCAGUCGUGGGGGAUAACUACUCGAAAGAGUGGCUAAUACCGCAUACGACCUGAGGGUGAAAGCGGGGGACCGUAAGGCCUCGCGCGAUUGGAGCGGCCGAUAUCAGAUUAGCUAGUUGGUGGGGUAAAAGCCCACCAAGGCGACGAUCUGUAGCUGGUCUGAGAGGACGACCAGCCACACUGGGACUGAGACACGGCCCAGACUCCUACGGGAGUCAGCAGUGGGGAAUUUUGGACAAUGGACGCAAGUCUGAUCCAGCCAUGCCGCGUGCGGGAAGAAGGCCUUCGGGUUGUAAACCGCUUUUGUCAGGGAAGAAACGAGUUUCUCUAAUACAGAGACUUAAUGACGGUACCUGAAGAAUAAGCACCGGCUAACUACGUGCCAGCAGCCGCAGUAACAC